UUAUUCAUUCAGGGUGGUGUGUAAUUCGCCAAUCGGACGUAAAGUCGUCGACUCCCAUUUUAUUUUGGGACUGAUCAUGUGUAAAUCAUGAGCCGACCGUAUAGUCGGGAUCGUAGUAAUACGAU
rfam:Candidatus Magasanikbacteria bacterium RIFOXYC12_FTLL_32_21b rifoxyc3_full_scaffold_3922, whole genome shotgun sequence.